rnacentral:rRNA from 1 species
GAUGAAUGCUGGCGGCGUGCCUAAUAUAUGCAAGUCGAGCGAACGGACGAGAAGCUUGCUUCUCUGAUGUUAGCGGCGGACGGGUGAGUAACACGUGGAUAACCUACCUAUAAGACUGGGAUAACUUCGGGAAACCGGAGCUAAUACCGGAUAAUAUUUUGAACCGCAUGAUUCAAAAGUGAAAGACGGUCUUGCUGUCACUUAUAGAUGGAUCCGCGCUGCAUUAGCUAGUUGGUAAGGUAACGGCUUACCAAGGCAACGAUGCAUAGCCGACCUGAGAGGGUGAUCGGCCACAUUGGAACUGAGACACGGUCCAGACUCCUACGGGAGGCAGCAGUAGGGAAUCUUCCGCAAUGGGCGAAAGCCUGACGGAGCAACGCCGCGUGAGUGAUGAAGGUCUUCGGAUCGUAAAACUCUGUUAUUAGGGAAGAACAUAUGUGUAAGUAACUGUGCACAUCUUGACGGUACCUAAUCAGAAAGCCACGGCUAACUACGUG